rnacentral:piRNA from 1 species
GUCUACAUUAGAGCCUCGCAACCUCGCAU